CCUACGGGUGGCAGCAGUAGGGAAUAUUGCUCAAUGGGGGAAACCCUGAAGCAGCAACGCCGCGUGGAGGAUGAAGGUUUUCGGAUUGUAAACUCCUUUUGUUAGAGAAGAUAAUGACGGUAUCUAACGAAUAAGCACCGGCUAACUCCGUGCCAGCAGCCGCGGUAAUACGGAGGGUGCAAGCGUUACUCGGAAUCACUGGGCGUAAAGAGCGCGUAGGCGGGAUAGCAAGUCAGAUGUGAAAUCCUAGGGGUUAAACAUAGAACUGCAUUUGAAACUGUUAUUCGAGAGUAUGGGAGAGGUAGGUGGAAUGCGUGGUGUAGGGGUAAAAUCCGUAGAGAUCAAGAGGAAUACUCAGUGCGAAGGC
rnacentral:rRNA from 1 species